UACGUAGGUGACAAGCGUUGUCCGGAUUUACUGGGCGUAAAGAGCGCGCAGGCGGUCGUUCAAGUCGAGUGUGAAAGCCCCCGGCUCAACUGGGGAGGGUCACUCGAUACUGAUCGACUCGAAGGCAGGAGAGGGAAGUGGAAUUCCCGGUGUAGUGGUGAAAUGCGUAGAUAUCGGGAGGAACACCGGUGGCGAAGGCGACAUCCUGGACCAACACUGACGCUGAGGGGCGAAAGCCAGGGGAGCAAACGGG
rnacentral:rRNA from 1 species